AACGCGAAGAACCUUACCCAGACUUGACAUACAGUGGACAGUAACAGAAAUGUUAUCUCUCUUCGGAGCCACUGAACAGGUGCUGCAUGGCUGUCGUCAGCUCGUGCCGUGAGGUGUUUGGUUAAGUCCAGCAACGAGCGCAACCCUUAUCACUAGUUGCCAACACGUAAUGGUGGGAACUCUAGUGAGACUGCCUGGGUUAACCAGGAGGAAGGUGAGGAUGACGUCAAGUCCGCAUGGCCCUUAUGUCUGGGGCUACACACGUACUACAAUGGUCGGUACAGAAGGCAGCGAAACCGCGAGGUGGAGCAAAUCCAAAAAACCGAUCUCAGUUCAGAUUGUAGUCUGCAACUCGGCUACAUGAAGAUGGAAUUGCUAGUAAUGGCGAGUCAGCACAUCGCCGUGAAUACGUUCCCGGGCCUUGUACACACCGGCUAC
rnacentral:rRNA from 1 species